GAACUGAAACAUCUAAGUAGCUGCAGGAACAGAAAUCAACCGAGAUUCCCAAAGUAGUGGCGAGCGAAAUGGGAUCAGCCUUGUACUCUUUAGCAGUAUUGUUAGCAAAGCGGAAUGGAAAGUCCGGCCAUAGUGGGUGAUAGCCCCGUAUGCGAAAACAGUAUUGUGGAACUAGGUGUACGACAAGUAGGGCGGGACACGUGAAAUCCUGUCUGAAGAUGGGGGGACCAUCCUCCAAGGCUAAAUACUCGUAAUCGACCGAUAGUGAACCAGUACCGUGAGGGAAAGGCGAAAAGAACCCCGGGAGGGGAGUGAAAUAGAUCCUGAAACCGCAUGCAUACAAACAGUCGGAGCCUGGAAACGGGUGACGGCGUACCUUUUGUAUAAUGGGUCAGCGACUUACAUUCAGUGGCAAGCUUAACCGAUUAGGGAAGGCGUAGCGAAAGCGAGUCCGAAUAGGGCGUUCAGUCGCUGGGUGUAGACCCGAAACCAAGUGAUCUAUCCAUGGCCAGGUUGAAGGUGCGGUAACACGUACUGGAGGACCGAACCCACUAACGUUGAAAAGUUAGGGGAUGAGCUGUGGAUAGGGGUGAAAGGCUAAACAAACUUGGAAAUAGCUGGUUCUCUCCGAAAACUAUUUAGGUAGUGCCUCGUGUCUCACCUUCGGGGGUAGAGCACUGUCAUGGUUGGGGGGUCUAUUGCUGAUUACCCCGCCAUAGCAAACUCCGAAUACCGAAGAGUGCAAUCACGGGAGACAGACAUCGGGUGCUAACGUCCGGUGUCAAGAGGGAAACAACCCAGACCGCCAGCUAAGGUCCCAAAGAUUGGCUAAGUGGGAAACGAAGUGGGAAGGCUAAAACAGUCAGGAGGUUGGCUUAGAAGCAGCCACCCUUUAAAGAAAGCGUAAUAGCUCACUGAUCGAGUCGUCCUGCGCGGAAGAUGUAACGGGGCUAAGCCAGUCACCGAAGCUGCGGACGCACGCAAGUGCGUGGUAGGAGAGCGUUCUGUAAGCCUGUGAAGGUGUCUUGUAAAGGAUGCUGGAGGUAUCAGAAGUGCGAAUGCUGACAUGAGUAGCGAUAAAGGGGGUGAAAGGCCCCCUCGCCGUAAGCCCAAGGUUUCCUACGCAACGUUCAUCGGCGUAGGGUGAGUCGGCCCCUAAGGCGAGGCAGAGAUGCGUAGCUGAUGGGAAGCAGGUUAAUAUUCCUGCACCGUCGUAUGAUGCGAUGGGGGGACGGAUCGCGGAAGGUUGUCCGGGUGUUGGAAGUCCCGGUCCCUGCAUUGGAGAAGGCGCUUAGGCAAAUCCGGGCGCGGAAUUCAAGGAUGUGGGGCGAGCGGCCUAGUGCUGCGAAGCAAUUGGAAGUGGUUCCAAGAAAAGCCUCUAAGCUUCAGUCAUACGAGACCGUACCGCAAACCGACACAGGUGGGCGAGAUGAGUAUUCUAAGGCGCUUGAGAGAACUCGGGAGAAGGAACUCGGCAAAUUGGUACCGUAACUUCGGGAUAAGGUACGCCCUUGUAGCUUGACUGGCCUGCGCCAGGAGGGUGAAGGGGUUGCAAUAAAAUGGUGGCUGCGACUGUUUAAUAAAAACACAGCACUCUGCAAACACGAAAGUGGACGUAUAGGGUGUGACGCCUGCCCGGUGCCGGAAGAUUAAAUGAUGGGGUGCAAGCUCUUGAUUGAAGUCCCGGUAAACGGCGGCCGUAACUAUAACGGUCCUAAGGUAGCGAAAUUCCUUGUCGGG
rnacentral:rRNA from 1 species